GGGAGAGGAGAAAGGCAAAAUAGCAGUUGCGGAUAACUGUAGAACUAUAGGUAAAGUACAGACAUGGAGAGAGGCUAUGGGCUGUCAAUUGUCUGAUGCUCCGUGAAGAAGAUUCCUCGAACUAAGCCGCCCCAGAAAGAGCAUUCUAUUCUAUCCUCGUUUCCCCCACUAUCUCAGCAAAUGUGGCAGAGACAAGAUUGUGCCAUUCACUAGGAGAAGAAAUCACAUUCUUUAGCUCUUUGUAGAGUCUGUAAAUUCUAAAGGUCAUGGGUUGCAUAAGUUCUAAAAGAUCAGUUAGGAAAGGCCGGUAUUCAUCUUACCCUCCUAGCUUGUGCUCAUCAAAUGCUCAUGGUUAUCCAUCAUAUGCUCAACCGAACCAGCAACCUCCACCUCCACCUCAGAGGCAUGGUGGUGAGUCUAUAGAGAUUAGAAAGAAGCUCGAGAGGAAAUACUCGAGAAUAGCGGACAACUACAACAGCGUAGAGCAGGUUACCGAUGCCUUAGCAUCUGCUGGCCUGGAGUCUUCGAAUCUUAUUGUCGGUAUUGAUUUCACGAAGAGCAAUGAAUGGACAGGUACAAGGUCAUUUCAACGAAGAAGUUUGCACCAUAUUGGUGAUGUCACGAAUCCUUACGAACAAGCAAUAUCAAUUAUUGGAAGAACUUUGUCUGCCUUUGAUGAGGAUAACUUAAUUCCUUGUUUUGGAUUUGGAGAUGCAUCAACACAUGACCUGGAAGUUUUCAGUUUUUAUCCGGAUGAGAGAUUUUGCAAUGGAUUUGAGGAAGUACUGAGGCGAUAUAGAGAAUUAGUUCCUCAGCUGCGACUUGCAGGGCCAACCUCAUUUGCCCCCAUCAUUGAAAUGGCCAUUACAAUUGUUGAACAAAGUCGGGGUCAAUACCAUGUUUUAGUGAUUAUAGCUGAUGGACAGGUGACAAGAAGUGUUGAUACAGAGCAUGGCCAGCUAAGCCCCCAUGAAAAGAAAACCGUUGAGGCAAUCGUGAAAGCAAGCGAAUACCCUUUGUCAAUAAUUUUAGUUGGUGUUGGAGAUGGACCAUGGGACAUGAUGAAGGAAUUUGAUGAUAACAUCCCUGCCAGGGCCUUUGACAAUUUCCAGUUUGUGAAUUUUACAGAAAUUAUGUCGAAGAACAGUGACAGGUCCAGGAAAGAAGCUGUGUUUGCUCUUGCAGCCUUGAUGGAAAUACCUUCUCAGUAUAAAGCAACAUUAGAGCUCAACAUCUUGGGAGCUUGUAGAGGAAAGGCUAUAGACCGGGUUCCUUUGCCCCCUCCUCUUUACGGUCCAACUUCAUCUGGCACAUCAAAACCUUCACGAUCCAGCAGUUCCAGGCCAACUGCACCUUCUUCUGAUGAACAUGAUGUGGUUGGUGGGACAAGCCAGCCUCCAAGUUCUGCUUUCGAUAAUCACGUUUGCCCAAUCUGCCUCACUGAUCCGAAGAACAUGGCAUUUGGUUGCGGCCAUCAGACCUGCUGCGAAUGCGGGCAAGGCCUUCAGGUCUGCCCCAUCUGUAGAAGCAACAUCGAAACCCGGAUAAGACUCUAUUAGAAGGCACAUGAUGUUGCAGACAUUGUUGGUAGUGUUAAAAAUUAGCAUCAUGUAGCUUAGCUCCCCUACUUGGAUUCUCUGCAGGUUUUCUCUUUGAUGAAACUAACUGCUGUUGGCUUCCAAUGGACAUUGGCUUUGGCUUUGGUUGGAUAGCAGAUGAUGUCCUAAUCUGUAAGAAUGAUGCUUGGUGCCCCAUUUCUGGGUUGUAUUGAUGAGAGUUUAUACAGUACACAAGGAGUGCAGUAACUGGAGGAGAAUUUAUCUGUAAAUUUUCUCGGGAAAAUUACCAUGCAACAAACCAGGUGAACAUCGAGUUGUUGAAGGUUUCAAUACUUCCAUAUUGUGUUGAAUUUUAUGUGCCCCAAUUUUUAAUUAUAUUAUAUUUGUUUUA